GUGCCCAACAGCUAGCCCAAUAAUUAAAAUCAACAAAUACCCAUUAAUAACCCCUAAAACACUACACCGCGCCAAACAAACCAUUUUUCCCCCUUAGUAUAGGCGAUAGAAAAGGAACUCCUGAGCAAUAGAAAAAGUACCGCAAGGGAAUGCUGAAAGAGAAAUGAAACAACCCAGUAAAGCUGAAAAAAGCAGAGAUUUUAACUCGUACCUUUUGCCAUCAUG
rnacentral:rRNA from 1 species